AAUUCAGUAAAAAAUCUCCCAUUGACUUUAAUGCUAGUCUAUGUAUGGAAUUAAAUUUAUACCUGAUUUACCUUUAGAAAUUGGAAACUUUCAUAUAACAUUCAUGAAAGUACAAAUGUAGCCCUAUCUUUUGCACUAAUAAAAACAUAGGGUCAUGCGGCAUUUUUUGGCAUUCACAUGGCCUUGUUUACAAACAAUGAAGAUUCGCACUGAAUUCCUAUUCUGACCCCCAUUACUUUUCAACCCUGUAGUAAAAAAAAAAUUAGUACAUUCAGCAUUUAUUUUUUAUUUUUUUUCAACUCUAGUUUUGAUCCAUCUGCCAAAAAAUAUUUAUUACAAACAUUAUCUACCAAUCAGAAGAGCAUAUGACUUCAGUGUUAUACAGAAAGCUCUCCCCUAAAUGG
rnacentral:lncRNA from 1 species